rnacentral:lncRNA from 1 species
AUUAAAUUUUGUCAUUUCUCCAUAAAAUUCUAUAGUGAGUGUACCAUCUCCUACACAUCUAUCUUUGUCUUGGUAGCACUAAAGAAAGAUCUUCUGAGCAAAAUGUCAGAGGGGUUAGAUGAUUUAUCAUCUUCCAUAUCUAAUACAUAAAAAUCAACAGGAAAAAUGAGAUUAUCAACUUUGACAAGCACAUCCUCUAGAACUCCUUCAAGAUAAAUAAUGGAUCUAUCAGCUAGCUAAAUUAUAACACUUAUUUCGUUUAGUGGACCAGCAUUUAACUUUGAAUAAAUAGACAAAGGUAUGACAUAUAUUG